AUUGAACGCUGGCGGCAUGCCUUACACAUGCAAGUCGAACGGUAACAGGUCUUCGGAUGCUGACGAGUGGCGAACGGGUGAGUAAUACAUCGGAACGUGCCCAGACGUGGGGGAUAACGAGGCGAAAGCUUUGCUAAUACCGCAUACGAUCUAAGGAUGAAAGCAGGGGACCGCAAGGCCUUGCGCGUUUGGAGCGGCCGAUGGCAGAUUAGGUAGUUGGUGGGAUAAAAGCUUACCAAGCCGACGAUCUGUAGCUGGUCUGAGCGGACGACCAGCCACCCUGGGACUGAGACACGGCCCAGACUCCUACGGGAGGCAGCAGUGGGGAAUUUUGGACAAUGGGCGAAAGCCUGAUCCAGCAAUGCCGCGUGCAGGAUGAAGGCCUUCGGGUUGUAAACUGCUUUUGUACGGAACGAAAAGGCUCUGGCUAAUACCUGGGGCACAUGACGGUACCGUAAGAAUAAGCACCGGCUAACUACGUGCCAGCCGCCGCAGUAA
rnacentral:rRNA from 1 species